rfam:Triticum aestivum genome assembly, contig: Triticum_aestivum_CS42_TGACv1_scaffold_395418_5AS
AUACUACUCCCUUCGUCCCAAAAUUCUUGUCUUAGAUUCGUCUAGAUACAGAUGUAUCUAAUAGUAAAACGUGGCUUGAUACAUUCGUAUUUAAACAAAUCUAAUACAAGAAUUUUGGGAAGUAAUAGAAAUAUUAG